AUACGUAGGGUGCGAGCGUUGUCCGGAAUUACUGGGCGUAAAGAGCUCGUAGGUGGUUUGUCGCGUCGUCUGUGAAAUUCCGGGGCUUAACUCCGGGCGUGCAGGCGAUACGGGCAUAACUUGAGUACUGUAGGGGAGACUGGAAUUCCUGGUGAAGCGGUGAAAUGCGCAGAUAUCAGGAGGAACACCGGUGGCGAAGGGGGGUCUCUGGGCAGUAACUGACGCUGAGGAGCGAAAGCAUGGGUAGCGAACAGGAUUAGAUACCCUGGUAGUCCAUGCCGUAAACGGUGGGCGCUAGGUGUAGGGGUCUUCCACGACUUCUGUGCCGUAGCUAACGCAUUAAGCGCCCCGCCUGGGGAGUACGGCCGCAAGGCUAAAACUCAAAUGAAUUGACGGGG
rnacentral:rRNA from 1 species